AUUGAACGCUGGCGGCAUGCCUUACACAUGCAAGUCGAACGGCAGCACGGGAGCAAUCCUGGUGGCGAGUGGCGAACGGGUGAGUAAUAUAUCGGAACGUGCCCAGUCGUGGGGGAUAACGCAGCGAAAGCUGUGCUAAUACCGCAUACGAUCUACGGAUGAAAGCGGGGGAUCGCAAGACCUCGCGCGAUUGGAGCGGCCGAUAUCAGAUUAGCUAGUUGGUGGGGUAAAGGCCCACCAAGGCGACGAUCUGUAGCUGGUCUGAGAGGACGACCAGCCACACUGGAACUGAGACACGGCCCAGACUCCUACGGGAGGCAGCAGUGGGGAAUUUUGGACAAUGGGCGCAAGCCUGAUCCAGCAAUGCCGCGUGCAGGAAGAAGGCCUUCGGGUUGUAAACUGCUUUUGUACGGAACGAAACGGUUCUCUCUAAUACAGAGGGCUAAUGACGGUACCGUAAGAAUAAGCACCGGCUAACUACGUGCCAGCCGCCGCGGUAAAAC
rnacentral:rRNA from 1 species